GUUGGAGAGGAGAACGAAACAUUUCUUACAAGAGUGUGGAAACCUCUCCCUAUAGACACCGUUUUAAAGACCUUGAGGGGAACUCCGACAGGGAAAGCCCAAAGAGUCAUUAUCUGCUAGCGGUGGGCUUGGCCGUUACAAAUGGUAUC